UACGGAGGGUGCAAGCGUUAUCCGGAUUCACUGGGUUUAAAGGGUGUGUAGGCGGGCUGUUAAGUCAGUGGUGAAAUCUCCGGGCUCAACCCGGAAACUGCCAUUGAUACUAUCAGUCUUGAAUCUUGUUGAGGUAGGCGGAAUAUAUCAUGUAGCGGUGAAAUGCUUAGAUAUGAUAUAGAACACCGAUUGCGAAGGCAGCUUACUAAACAAGCAUUGACACUGAGGCACGAAAGCGUGGGGAUCAAACAGG
rnacentral:rRNA from 1 species